CCUACGGGAGGCAGCAGUGGGGAAUAUUGGACAAUGGGGGAAACCCUGAUCCAGCGACGCCGCGUGAGUGAAGAAGUAUUUCGGUACGUAAAGCUCUAUCAGCAGGAAAGAAAAUGACGGUACCUGACUAAGAAGCACCGGCUAACUACGUGCCAGCAGCCGCGGUAAUACGUAGGGGGCAAGCGUUAUCCGGAUUUACUGGGUGGAAAGGGAGCGUAGACGGCAGCGCAAGUCUGGAGUGAAAUGCCGGGGCCCAACCCCGGAACUGCUCUGGAAACUGGGAAGCUGGAGUGCAGGAGAGGUAAGCGGAAUUCCUGGUGUAGCGGUGAAAUGCGUAGAUAUCAGGAGGAACACCGACGGCGAAGGCGGCUUACUGGACUGUAACUGACGUUGAGGCUCGAAGGCGUGGGGAGCAAACAGGAUUAGAUACCCCUGUAGUC
rnacentral:rRNA from 1 species